AACGAACGCUGGCGGCAUGCCUAACACAUGCAAGUCGAACGAGACCUCCGGGUCUAUUGGCGCACGGGUGCGUAACGCGUGGGAACCUGCCCUUAGGUUCGGAAUAACUCCCCGGAAGGGGUGCUAAUACCGGAUAAUAUGCUCGUACCAAAGAUUUAUCGCCUUUGGAUGGGCCCGCGUUGGAUUAGCUAGUUGGUAGGGUAAAAGCCUACCAAGGCGACGAUCCAUAGCUGGUCUGAGAGGAUGAUCAGCCACACUGGGACUGAGACACGGCCCAGAAUCCUACGGGAGGCAGCAGUGGGGAAUAUUGGACAAUGGGCGAAAGCCUGAUCCAGCAAUGCCGCGUGAGUGAUGAAGGCCUUAGGGUUGUAAAGCUCUUUUACCCGGGAUGAUAAUGACAGUACCGGGAGAAUAAGCACCGGCUAACUCCGUG
rnacentral:rRNA from 1 species